rnacentral:rRNA from 1 species
AGAUUGAACGCUGGCGGCAGGCUUAACACAUGCAAGUCGAGCGGGGAAAUGUAGCUUGCUACAUUACCUAGCGGCGGACGGGUGAGUAAUGCUUAGGAAUCUGCCUAUUAGUGGGGGACAACAUUUCGAAAGGAAUGCUAAUACCGCAUACGCCCUACGGGGGAAAGCAGGGGAUCUUCGGACCUUGCGCUAAUAGAUGAGCCUAAGUCGGAUUAGCUAGUUGGUGGGUAAAGGCCUACCAAGGCGACGAUCUGUAGCGGGUCUGAGAGGAUGAUCCGCCACACUGGGACUGAGACACGGCCCAGACUCCUACGGGAGGCAGCAGUGGGAAUAUUGGACAAUGGGGGGAACCUGAUCCAGCCAUGCCGCGUGUGUGAAGAAGGCCUUUUGGUUGUAAAGCACUUUAAGCGAGGAGAGGCUACUAGAUUAAUACCCUGGAUAGUGGACGUUACGUCGCAGAAUAAGACACCGGCUAACUCUGUGCCAGCAGCCG